rnacentral:misc_RNA from 1 species
UUUCCGUAGGUGAACCUGCGGAAGGAUCAUUAACGCAUAACCGACGUUCGAGUAUUGCCUUUGACCCGAACGGACGUGCACGCCCGAUAGCCCGCACACACAUCUAUCCCACCCCUAUGCGCACCACCGCGUGGGUCGCCCUUUGGCUUCUUCGGCGGGGGGCGUACGGUUUCACACACAGGUUGUAUACAGUGUAGAAUGCAUUUUUUUUUUUUGCGAUCACGAUAUCAACACAACUUACAACAACUGAUCUCUUAGCUCCCGCAACGAAGAAGAACA